AACAGGGAGAGCAAAAGAUUGAGAAGGGCGGAGGUUCAAGGACUUCUCUUGUUCCAGCAACAUUUUAAUUACUUUCGGCAACGCUGUUUAAGGAAACAGAGUCAUUCUGGACCUUCUGUAACAGCUCGAGCCUUUCCCUCCCUCCCAUCUCAUAUUUGUGAAAUUGAUGAAACAAUUGAAGAUGCAUAGAGAUAAGGAAAGUAGUCAGAUAAUGAGAGAAGGAGACAGAGACAGCAAGAAGGGAAAGAGGUUGGAAGAAGAAGAAAAAAAGCAGAAGCACAAGAAAGAUGAGCAUGAGGAGGGAGAUGAAGCAAAAUGAACACAGAUAGAGAUCGACAGUCUGUUUGAAGAAGGUUGGUAAGAGAUAUGAGGAGAAAGGGGAAAAGGUGAUAUGAGGAAUUUGUAGGAAUAUGAAAGCUUCAGUAUUCUCCUUUAAGAUACACACUCAUGAAAAGAGGCUAAAAAAAUCAUUAUUUUGAGGACACAAGGAUGAAGAGUUUUGCUUUACUUUGUAGAGCAGCUACUACAGCUACAUGAGCAUGUGCACUGUCAAUCUUUGCAUAUAUGCGCAGUGUAUCCUGCUUGAAUAUUUUUGUAUCGGUUUGGGUCUGUGUGUGAGAAUAUAGCAACGGAAGUGUAUUUUUCUCCUGAUGCCAUGCCUAACACGAUCAGCACUCAUUAAGCGCUCUCCAAAGCCCAUGCACCUCACAGACAGAAACCUUCUCCAAAAGACAGCCCCCGAACCCAGUAAACACACACGGCUUCCGGCCUGUAAGCCAUUUCUUCAGUGUAAACAAACUGGCAUCCACUUAAAGCACUGGCAAGGAAUUUAUACAAAAUGUAAUCCAAAAAAAAAAAAAAAAAAAUUGUCACACAGUUCUGCCCGCCCACUUAGAAAAGUAAUAAAAAUUUAAUUUGUUGGAAGUUUGAUUUUUCUCCUCAUCAUCUGAGCCUGGGAAAAUUCAAGUAUUCAGUAUUCAUGUUAUUAUUUUCAGUAUGCAGAAUAACUUCUGCAUUUUAGAAGAAUCCCACAAUUCUAUUUGUAGUUUUAUAAUGGCACAAGAUUAUAUUGCCCUACCUUUUUUAAUUAAUCAAAUUCUUCUUAUCUUGUUUAAUACUGUAUUAACCAUUGCUACAAAAACCAGUCGACUGAUGGAAAAUCAUACAUCCUAACCCUUCAGAAAAUACUGGUGUACCUUGAAAACCCUGAUUCACUUCGGGAUACUGCAUCUGGGAUGAUGCAACAAAAAAUAUGACACUUACUCAUUGUAAACCUAAUCUAUGAUCAUUAAAGAUUAUAUGGCAAAAUUUAAGGUGCAUAGACAAGCCAGAUGAUCUGUUGCAACAAGCUAAUCCUUUACACCUAUGGUUGUUAAAACCGAUGCAGUCCUGUAAUCUGAGUGUGAGAAGAGGCAACGGUAUACAAUAGUCGUUGUAUGAAACAUAUUUCUUACUUACCAAAACGGGGACACAUUUAGAUCACCAGGGACACACUCGGGGAUGAGAGCAGCCUGUAGCUUUUCUUUUGUUGCCUGUAAUGAAUUAUUUCAUGCAAACAUGUGAUUGGGCUGCAUUGCUGACAGAUAGCAGCCAUUGUUAUGGUAAAGUCACUCUAUGGUCUUCCCUGGCUCUCC
ensembl:lncRNA